UCCCUCAAACUAAAUUCCUGAAUUCAAACCUGCCCUUUAGGCAGCACUCCAGGGCAUGUUCUGCUCUUUGCAAGGUUUAAUUUUGAAGAAGCACAUUGCUGGGUAAAAACAGGACUUCAGGGUACAAUAUAAUUCAAAAUGCAAUUAAAAUAAACUCUUCGAGUGGAAAUGCAAGAUGCAUUUUUAUUCUAUUAAAGCCUUUGGCCUUAUCACUGCAGAGUACUUCUAUAGUAACCAGUCUCACACAAUAGGCAGCAUGCCUCAGCUGAGCAAAAACAAACAAGGCCUUCAAACACGACAAUAACUUCCUGUACCUACUUUUGUUUGCUUGCUGAGCCUGCAAACACUGGGAGUUGCUGAAAUACACAAGCGUAACAGCUUGAGUCAAUAUUUGCCUGUUAAACUGUGGUGUUUUUAUUUUGCAAGGUGACUGAACUCCUUGAAUAAACAUAUCUCCUGGUAGGCAGGAAGCAGAACUACAUAAGGAAGACACCAGAAAGAGGGCCCAAAACAGAAUCAGCCCUGCCUUCCUGGUAGCACUCCAGUGGGAAAUCCUGAGUCUUCAGAGGGUCCUGACUUAAUACUUUUCAUUCAGAGACAAAGAACUAACCCCUUGGGGCCGAGGAAGUGCCCAGGACAAGUUAUACUACCUGUCUUUAAGAUUAUUCUCACCAAGUCAUGUGUGGUGUCUUUUCAUCAGACUCUAGGAUCACAACUACUGAACCACUGUAUCUCAUGAGGCUGAGAAAGCAUGAUCCUACUUUAUUUAUAGCCUUAUGUCCAUUUACUCUGCCGUCUGACUCUGCCACUCGCCCGGGGACCCUGUACUACUCCAACGGCAGCUUCUGCCUGGCUUGAGGCUGCCCAGGCCAUCAUAACAUAUUAUUUUUAAAAAAAGAACAAUAUUGGUGCCAGGACUGGAAAGAUUCACCCGCCAAGGGCCAGAGUUCCAGCUUUACCCUUUGUCCGGGACUCUGACCACCAACUUCCGGGAUUGAAUCGGACCGAGGGCCUUCCUCAACACCGCCAACUGCCUGGACUCCUUCCCACAAACAACACCGGCUUCUAAUUGUAAGUUUCCUCACUCCAACCAGCUUAUCUGAGCCUUUUUAACCCGGGAUUGACCAGUCCUCCCGGUCUUUCUGGGCUCGGGGAGGGGUACUUUGCCCCGUCACUGGCGUAUGACUUGCAUCCUGUUAAGCCCAUGCAUUCCCUCACCUGCUGGCCCCGGGCCUCCAGUCGUCUUCCUCUCUCAUUUCAUUCUGUUCUUCUUUCUCAUCUU